GAUUUCCUGAAAGCAGAAGAGAAGAACUGGUCUUAGGUAGUUGUGCCCAUCCACCCCAGACACAGCACAGUUUCCUCCAUGAAACCAUGUUCAAAUGCCCCCCUCCCCGGAUAAUUUAAAACAGAAUAUACAAAGGCAAAUAUGUUUCUGGUCAAGCAGAUCAACCAGUGCCUCCCUGCUGGCCUCUGUGUGUGUAGAACACAGUCCAAACUUCACUGCCGUUUGCUCAGGCAAGACACAAGAUACCAUCUGUCUUACAAAACCAGGUGUCUGGGGCCUAUCAAUAUUCAUGUAAAUCCAUGCAGAGACCGACUACUUCAUGGUACCUGUUAGUUACUUCCCUCCUCAUUUCUGUCGUCUCUUCUCUGGAGUUUCCAUCAGCAGAACUGCAGGUAGGAGGUUCUUGCUCUCUGACUUAACAUUGGGAGCCUGCAGCUCCCUUCUUCACCCCAGCCCCUCCUUACCCCCUGGACCUCCUUCCCUGAUUGCCUCCUCCUUCAGCAAUGCCUUUCUUUUCAUUCCUUGGGGAUUUGGCCUUCCUUUACCACACACAAGCUUUCUUUCCCCAACACGGCAUAAAAGCAACCCAAAUUCUAUAUAUUUUAUGCCUGUUGUCCCAGUUUCUAUUAGUUGUUUUCCUUAGAAUGUCUAAAUUUUAAAUUGUUUUUAAUUUUAGUGGGAUGUACAAUCUCUCCUAUCAAUAAAUGUACUCUCAUUAAUAUUCUGUCUAACUGUCUUAUAAAAAUGUUUUGCUUAUUUUUAUUUUAUGUGUGUGUGUUUCCGUAUGCAUGUAAUCACACUAAAUGUGUGUAUUGCCUGAGAACACCAGAGACAGCAUUGGAUUCCCUGGAACUAAAGUUACAGCAAUUUGUGGGAUGCUUGGAUGCUGGGAACCCAACCUGGGUCCUCUACAUGAGUAGUCAGUGCUCUUAACUGUUCAGCCAACACUCCAGCUGCUGUCCCAGUGUAUUCAAUGCUACCUCUGUCUUAUACAAGUCAUGGUAUGUAUGUAAACCUGGAUUCUCUGAUCUCCUCCUAGACACCACUAUAAAAUGCAGUAGGCUGGGUGGCUUGAACAACAGAUGUUUAUCCUCUCACCAUGUGGGGACUUGAUGACCAAGAGCAAGACUAAAUGGUUGCAGGACCAGGAGGACAGAAACUUCCAUCUACAUAUGGCAUCCAAUGGCAUAUGUAUUACCUGACAACAGCUUUAAAAGGGAUUUUGAAGCACAGCUUCUUGGUAACAGCAUUUUCUCGGGUGGGCUCUGUUUGCUAUAGGGUUCUUCAUGACAACGAGAUACAACUGCUCCUGGCAACACCAAUUAUGUCAGAGGCAUUGAAGAAACUCAUUACAGAAUUUGCCUUCAUGUGGCAAAACUGGUCUAUUGGGCAAAAAACUGCUCUUGCCUUAACUGCUGACAGUAAGCAUGCUGUCCAAAGUGGACAAGUUGGUUACAAAGGAAAGUGACUGUUGAAUUUGCCAAAAGACAGGCUGGUUCUUUAGUGUUCCUGCUUUACAGAAGAAAGCAACUGGCAAACUUGGCCAAUGCAAGACGAACAGAUCUUCAAAUCUCCUACUUCAUUAAAAAGUCUGCCAGACACUAUGGCCUAUGGGCUGAACAUGGAUGCCCUGUUGUUACAGAAGAACUUUGGGUGACUCUCCAGGCAAUGAGAUGUCUCAGUCCGGUUCCUUCUGAGGUCUUUGAUGGAGUUGAAGACAGUUAGUUAGGGUUAUGGUUUUCCUUAGUUAUGAUAAAAGAUGAGUUACAUAUAAAACUCUAGACUCACGAAGAGAGGAUAAAGUAGUGUCUUUAAAUUUUGCUUAAUGUUAGUGGAUUAAAUGUUGUAAAUAUAAUUCUUGCUUGGUAACUGUUUUGUUAUGUAUACUUUUACUAUGUUAAAGUUAAAACCUUUCUUUUAUGUACACAGAAAAGAGGAGAUAAUGAGGGAUGUCCUUCUGU